rnacentral:rRNA from 1 species
UACGAAGGGGGCUAGCGUUGCUCGGAAUUACUGGGCGUAAAGGGCGCGUAGGCGGCUCUGUUAGUCAGGCGUGAAAGGCCUGGGCUCAACCCGGGAAUGCGCUUGAUACUGAGAGCUUGAGUCCGGGAGAGGUGAGUGGAACUGCGAGUGUAGAGGUGAAAUUCGUAGAUAUUCGCAAGAACACCAGUGGCGAAGGCGGCUCACUGGCCCGGUACUGACGCUGAGGUGCGAAAGCGUGGGGAGCAAACAGG